UACGUAGGGUGCAAGCGUUAAUCGGAAUUACUGGGCGUAAAGCGUGCGCAGGCGGUUUUGUAAGUUUGUCGUGAAAUCCCCGGGCUCAACCUGGGAAUUGCGAUGGAGACUGCAAGGCUAGAAUCUGGCAGAGGGGGGUAGAAUUCCACGUGUAGCAGUGAAAUGCGUAGAGAUGUGGAGGAACACCGAUGGCGAAGGCAGCCCCCUGGGUCAAGAUUGACGCUCAUGCACGAAAGCGUGGGGGAGCAAACAGG
rnacentral:rRNA from 1 species